GUCGUCCUACGGGGGGCAGCAGUGAGGAAUAUUGGUCAAUGGGCGGGAGCCUAAACCAGCCAAGUCGCGUGAGGGAAGACGGUCCUACGGAUUGUAAACCUCGUUUGCCGGGGAGCAACGGGGUCCUUGCGAGGUCCCAAUGAGAGUACCCGGAGAAAAAGCAUCGGCUAACUCCGUGCCAGCAGCCGCGGUAAUACGGAGGAUGCGAGCGUUAUCUGGAUUUAUUGGGUUUAAAGGGUGCGUAGGCGGGCUGUUAAGUCAGCGGUCAAAUGUCGGGGCUCAACCCCGGCCUGCCGUUGAAACUG
rnacentral:rRNA from 1 species